GACAAUCUAAUGAAAAGACCCUAAGUGAGUGUGUCUCCAGGGCCUGUCAGACCAGGGCUCUUGACCUCCCGCCAAUCGAUCCGGAUGCUUUCAACCCGAUUAUCAUCCGGUUUCUGGAAAAACUUACUGAGGAGCAAUGGAGGCAGUUAAGCAUUGGCAGGAUGGACCCUGUGAUGAGGGCAUUGCUUGCAGAGAUGUGCCUGGAGAUUGUGCGGUUUGUAUCUGAGGCAAUCCUGGAGGUCAUCGUCCCUGCAAUUUUCCGUUUUGUACGGAUAUACAGCCAUGUGUCUCCAGUAUCCAGCAAGUCUCUGACUGAAUCAGAGAGAUCCUCUAGCACAAACCUGAAGGUUCGCAAGAGAGGCAGCAGCAAAUCCUCAAGGUCUUGCACGGCCAAAUCAAGCUCCUCUCGUAAUGGGUCUCAGACAGUGUUGCCAAAUACUCAGGGAGAUGGUGAGUCUAUAUCAUCU